GACGAACGCUGGCGGCGUGCUUAACACAUGCAAGUCGAACGGAAAGGCCCUGCUUUUGUGGGGUGCUCGAGUGGCGAACGGGUGAGUAACACGUGAGUAACCUGCCCUUGACUUUGGGAUAACUUCAGGAAACUGGGGCUAAUACCGGAUAGGAGAUCCGGCUGCAUGGUGGGGGUUGGAAAGUUUCGGCGGUUGGGGAUGGAAUCGCGGCUUAUCAGCUUGUUGGUGGGGUAGUGGCUUACCAAGGCUUUGACGGGUAGCCGGACUGAGAGGGUGACCGGCCACAUUGGGACUGAGAUACGGCCCAGACUCCUACGGGAGGCAGCAGUGGGGAAUAUUGCACAAUGGGCGGAAGCCUGAUGCAGCAACGCCGCGUGCGGGAUGACGGCCUUCGGGUUGUAAACCGCGUGCGCCUGUGACGAAGCGUGAGUGACGGUAAUGGGUAAAGAAGCACCGGCUAACUACGUG
rnacentral:rRNA from 1 species